rnacentral:rRNA from 1 species
AUGUGCAUUCCAAAAUCUAGGGGAGGCAUGGGCUUCCGUGACAUUCAUAGUUUUAAUCUAGCAAUGCUCGCUAAACAAUGCUAGAGACUGAUAGAUAACUAUGACUCACUUUGUGCCAAGGUUCUGCAAGCUAAGUAUUACCCCUCGGGAGACUUGCUAAACUGUGAUUUGAAGAAGGGCUCAUCUUAUGUAUGGCAAAGCAUAUGGUCAGGAAUACAGACCUUCAAGGAAGGGUGCAUCUGGAGGGUUGGAAAUGGAAUGAAAAUUGAUAUCUGGGAUGAUUGUUAG